UCGAUGUGCAGUCUCCGCUUGGCCGGCGCGAAUUGCUUGUCGUGGUAAUCGUAAAAUAAUGAAUUGACAGCUUAAUUGUACCAGUGCAUCAUGACAAAUAUCACCCUUCACACAUGACCUGGAGAUCAACAAAGGCAGGCCGACUGAUUCAGGUACACAAAAAACAUCACACUUGUGUGGUUCGUUGUUGUGUCAAGACACAUGUGACCUGUAAUCACCCACAUGCAAUAACAUUCAUAAACGCUUUACUAAAUGUACAUGAACAAAUUGACAAUAUGCUGCAAUCUGUUUAAUUUGCAUUUUUCAUCAACCAUUUACAAUAACAUUACGAUCUCCAGACAAUUCAUUUUGGUAGUUUACUGUAAAUCCACAUAAAUUAAGCAUAAUAUUUUAAAAAGUAUUAGAUAAUCAAAUGCAUUUAUUACCUGGAAGAAAUGGCUUUUUAAAUAACUAAUAGUUACAUCCACAACAGUUGCAACACAACACUAGCCAUUGAAAUACUGAAGAUUCCUUGCAGCUCUCCCGUAGCUUAAAAGACCAUGGAAUGGUAUCUCCUCUUGCAGCCUUUCCUAAGCCCCAGUUCUGUAUUUUGUGUCUGUAUGACAGGCAAAAUAUAGUACAUACAAUACAGCAGGUGUUGACCAAUGCAAUUGGCAAUCUAGAGAAUCUAAGAGCUUCUGAAGGAUCUGGUUCAGUUAGAGCUGGUGCUG